GCCGCCCUCUUUCUUCUUUCUUAACACAUGCAAGUCGAACGGAAAGGCCCUGCUUUUGUGGGGUGCUCGAGUGGCGAACGGGUGAGUAACACGUGAGUAACCUGCCCUUGACUUUGGGAUAACUUCAGGAAACUGGGGCUAAUACCGGAUAGGAGCUCCUGCUGCAUGGUGGGGGUUGGAAAGUUUCGGCGGUUGGGGAUGGACUCGCGGCUUAUCAGCUUGUUGGUGGGGUAGUGGCUUACCAAGGCUUUGACGGGUAGCCGGCCUGAGAGGGUGACCGGCCACAUUGGGACUGAGAUACGGCCCAGACUCCUACGGGAGGCAGCAGUGGGGAAUAUUGCACAAUGGGCGGAAGCCUGAUGCAGCAACGCCGCGUGCGGGAUGACGGCCUUCGGGUUGUAAACCGCUUUCGCCUGUGACGAAGCGUGAGUGACGGUAAUGGGUAAAGAAGCACCGGCUAACUACGUG
rnacentral:rRNA from 1 species